UAAACCGUUUUAGGGGAGUGUGAGCGAGAGCUUUCUGCCGAGGCAUGCUAUAUCGAUAAAAUAUGUUCUCUAUUUAGAUUAUGUAUGCAAUAGUUGAAUUUAACGACUCAGUCAGUGAAAUUAUACCAGGUAAAUGGUUAUGUACAGAAGAGGAAGAUAAAUGUUUUUGGCCUGAGUUUUUGCCUCUUUCAAAAGUAUCAAAGCUGGUUAGCCAAAAAGCAAAUCCUAAUCCACAAGGUUGAAUACUAACUUGAUCAAGGAGGUUGUACUUUAGUGGAGGAUAAUGGCCGUAAUAGUGCUGUAAUGACAACAAACACAAAUACAUAUGAACCGAAGUAAAAAUACUCCAGAAAAUUUAAACUGUAACGAGGAAUGCACAUCAGUAAUCAAAUGUGAGGGGCUUGGUUUUGUUCACAAGACUGAGAUGACAAACGAGCCAAACGUGCUAAAGCCUUUAAAAACACAAGGCUUCACCGAGAAGUACCUUUGGAU
rnacentral:lncRNA from 1 species